rnacentral:rRNA from 1 species
UACGGAGGAUCCAAGCGUUAUCCGGAUUUAUUGGGUUUAAAGGGUGCGUAGGCGGUUUAUUAAGUCAGGGGUGAAAGACGGCAGCUUAACUGUCGCAGUGCCUUUGAUACUGAUGAACUUGAAUGAACUAGAAGUAGGCGGAAUGUGACAAGUAGCGGUGAAAUGCAUAGAUAUGUCACAGAACACCGAUUGCGAAGGCAGCUUACUAUGGUAUUAUUGACGCUGAGGCACGAAAGCGUGGGGAUCAAACAGG